UACGAGAGGACCGGAGUGGACGCACCUCUGGUGCAUCGGUUGUCACGCCAGUGGCACAGCCGAGUAGCUAAGUGCGGAAGAGAUAACCGCUGAAAGCAUCUAAGCGGGAAACUCGUUCCAAGAUGAGUCUUGCCGGGGCCUCGAGCCCCCUGAAGAGUCGUUCGAGACCAGGACGCUAAUAGGCCGGGUGUGGAAGCGCAGCAAUGCGUUAAGCUGACCGGUACUAAUCGCUCGUGAGGCUUGACCCU
rnacentral:rRNA from 1 species